rnacentral:rRNA from 1 species
UACGAAGGGGGCUAGCGUUGUUCGGAAUUACUGGGCGUAAAGCGCGCGCAGGCGGUUCUCCAAGUCAGUGGUGAAAGCCCGGAGCUCAACUCCGGAACUGCCAUUGAAACUGUUGAACUUGAGGACGAGAGAGGUGAGUGGAAUUCCCAGUGUAGAGGUGAAAUUCGUAGACAUUGGGAAGAACACCGGUGGCGAAGGCGGCUCACUGGCUCGUAUCUGACGCUCAGGCGCGAUAGCGUGGGGAUCAAACAGG